rnacentral:lncRNA from 1 species
GUAUUUUUCUACAAAAUUUGAUGCAAUAAAUUCAUAACUUUUAAUGUUAAAAAGCAAUAACAUAAAUGGUACCAAUUUUACUGCAAAAGAUGCAUAUUUUGACAAUAUAAUAUCUCUGCAGUGAUAUUCAAGGUAAAAAUAGUUAAAGUCUAAAACCGUAUGCAAAUGUUGGAGCUGACAAAACUAAAAAUUCAGAAAGAGUUUCACAGAACCUGUUGUCUUUCCUGCGAUUGGUAUUGGACGUUUGAAAGUGAGUCAUUUUAUCACUAAAAUGCAGAAUUAAAAAAGGAACACACUUCUUCAGAUGCAAUUUCCUCGAUUGUGAAGAUAAGCAUCUCGCCAAGUUUCAUAAAAAUCCAUGACAAAAAAAAAAAAUGAAAAUGAAAAAAAAAUAAUAUUUUUUUAAAUCCUACUACAAACAUAAUCUCAAUUAAAAAGCAGCUGAAGUUUUGCAAAAUACCAUGAAGUAAUUGAUGUUUAAUCUAUUUGUAAAUAUAGUUCUGUAAAUAAGUAUAAGAUAGAUGGUAGUCCCGAAACUUUGAAUUAUGACAUGAAGUUUAAAGAUAAUGCUAGCUUCUUUUAUACGACCGCAAAAAAAUUUUGGGAUUUGUAUAAUGGUAUGAUGUCGUCGUAUGCGUCGUUCGAAGACACAUUGGUUUCCGGACAAUAACUUUAGUUUACAUGAAUGGAUCUCUAUAAAGGUAAAUAAGAAGGUUCAAUACCACAAAAGGAAAGUUGAUAUUGAUUUUGGGGAUGAUGGUCCAAACUGUUUAGGAAUUAGUGGCCCAAAACAAGCAUUUUUCUACUCAGGAUAAUAACUUGUGUAUAAGUAUUUCAAUUGCUCUGAAAUUGUUCCACAAUGUUUAAUACCACAAGUAGAAGGUUUGGAUUCAUUUAAGGGGUUAUGGUGCCAACAGUUCAGGAAUUAGAUUCAAAAAGGGGCCAAAAACAAGCAUUUUUCUAGUUUCUGGACAAUCACUUAUGUUAGAGUAUGAAUCCAUCUGACAUUGUACCACAAGGUUCCAUGUCACAAAAAGAAGCUGGAAUUGAGUUUGGGGGUUAUUGCACCAUUCAUGCAGGAAUCAGGGGCCAAAAACGAGCAUAUAUCUAGUUUCCAGAUAAGAAUUUGUGUUUAAGUGUAUGGAUCUCUCUGAAAUUGUACUACAAGGUUCCAUACUACAAAGGAAAGGCAGGG